GGGCAAGUCCAUGGUCAGC
rnacentral:siRNA from 1 species